rnacentral:rRNA from 1 species
CAGCCGCGGUGAUACAGAGGGGGCAAGCGUUAUUCGGAAUUAUUGGGCGUAAAGGGUGCGUAGGCGGUUUUUUAAGUCAGAUGUGUAAUCCCCGAGCUCAACUUGGGAACUGCAUCUGAAACUGGGAGACUAGAGUGCUGGAGAGGAUGGUGGAAUUCCACGUGUAGCGGUGAAAUGCGUAGAGAUGUGGAGGAACACCAGUGGCGAAGGCGGCCAUCUGGACAGUAACUGACGCUGAAGCACGAAAGUGUGGGUAGCAAACAGGAUUAGAUACCCUGGUAGUCCACACCGUAAACGAUGAACACUUGGUGUAGUGGGAGUUGACCCCCACUGUGCCGUAGCUAACGCGAUAAGUGUUCCGCCUGGGGAGUACGGUCGCAAGGCUGAAACUCAAAUGAAUUGACGGAAAC